AUACAGAGGGUGCGAGCGUUAAUCGGAUUUACUGGGCGUAAAGCGCGCGUAGGCGGCUAAUUAAGUCAAAUGUGAAAUCCCCGAGCUUAACUUGGGAAUUGCAUUCGAUACUGGUUAGCUAGAGUGUGGGAGAGGAUGGUAGAAUUCCAGGUGUAGCGGUGAAAUGCGUAGAGAUCUGGAGGAAUACCGAUGGCGAAGGCAGCCAUCUGGCCUAACACUGACGCUGAGGUGCGAAAGCAUGGGGAGCAAACAGGAUUAGAAACCCUAGUAGUCC
rnacentral:rRNA from 1 species